CAGAUUCACAAAAUGAGUGACCGCCUAUCUCUGUAUGUCCAUCUCCCUCAUAGGCUGUAUCUUUCUGGAGACUAUCAGGAUUCCCACUAAUUUAUCAUCAUCAUCAUCAUCAUCAUCAUCAUCUUAAGUCUCCUAUGGUCUGGAUUCGGUGCAUACAUUGAUGUCUGGAGCCAAAUCCACACAAGAUGAUUUUUGCCACUGCAUCUGGUUCUCUGGGAACUCCAUUGUCUGCUUUCUUGAAGCUUUUCACCUUUUCGUCUGAAGUAUGUUCUGGCAGCCAGAGAUGU